CUAGCGACUUCAGAGUUUGAUCCUGGCUCAGGAUGAACGCUGGCGGCGUGCCUAACACAUGCAAGUCGAGCGAGAUGCUCCUGACGGAUUCUUCGGAUGACGGAAGGAGCGGAAAGCGGCGGACGGGUGAGUAACGCGUAGGCAACCUGCCCUUUGCAGAGGGAUAGCCUCGGGAAACCGGGAUUAAAACCUCAUAAUGCCAUGAAGAGACAUCUCUUUAUGGCCAAAGAUUUAUCGGCAAAGGAUGGGCCUGCGUCUGAUUAGUUAGUUGGUGGGGUAACGGCCUACCAAGGCGACGAUCAGUAGCCGACCUGAGAGGGUGAUCGGCCACAUUGGAACUGAGACACGGUCCAA
rnacentral:rRNA from 1 species